rnacentral:lncRNA from 1 species
GGUUCGCCGGAGCACCGACGGGACGGUUCACCAGAGCACCGCCGGGACGGAUCGCUGGAGCACCACCGGGAACCUAACCGGCGGUGGGGGGCAUCGACGUCCGGGCAUACGAUGGGCGUGGGCCGUGCCCUGGGCAACCCCUGCUCGCUCAAUAUCACCUCCCCUUAAAGAGCUAAAAAAACUUGGUCAAUGCGCUACCAGGUGACAUUCUUUUUUUUUUGAAACAAAACGACCCCAAGGGUUAUCACAAUCUUAUUAAGAAACAUCACAAAUUACAGCAUUGUGGAUUUCCGGCGGAUAAUCAAUUUCGAACAAGCAAUGUUUAGCCUCACUACACAUUUUUUUACAAAUUAAAUGAGCUACAGUGUUACAAGACCGUUCGGUCCAAAUUAAAUUGGCCGAUUUGAAAAAACUGAAAGCUGCUGUGCAAUCCUUUAUUCGUGCGCCUAUUGUGGUGACGUCAUGGGCUAAUUUAUUAAACUUGUUGACCAGCCCCACGUGAUCUGUCUCAAAGAUGACUUGAUCUUUUAAAUUCAAAUUACAAGCAACUUUUAUACUUUCUUCGAACGCCAUACACUCUGCUUCUUCCACCGACAUCCUGCCUUCUUUGAAACCCCCACCCCCUCCUAAUACAAAGCCUUCUUCAUCUCGUAUAAUCGUCCCAUACCCGCAUCUAUUUUCACCUACAGUAGCAUCAAAGUUAACUUUGAGAAAAUUCUUUGGGGGUUUUUUCCACUUUUUCUCCUCUAUAUUCUGCGAUAAUAAUGGUUCUUUCAGCAGGUUACAAAUUCGAAAUUCCUUGUGUAGGUUACUGGCUCUUUCCCAUAUCUGUUUAGCCUUCUCUUCUUUUCCCCUGAAAAUAAAAUUAUUUCUGUUAUUCCAGCAGUUCCAAAGAAUUGUCAUCAGGUCGGCCAUAGCUCUCUUAUCCAGGACCCGCAUCAGUUCUUCCAACCAGUCAAUGCACCGAUCGUAAUUCUUAGAGAUAAAGCUCCUGGUCCAUCCGCCUAUCGAAAGAACAGCUCUUGAGGUCGGGCAGUCUUUUAACGCAUGUAAUAGCGUUUCGGUUUCAGCUCCACAUCUUGGGCAUCCCUUGUCGAAUCCUUAUCUGAUGCUGGCGAUCUUACAGUUCGUCGGAAGUAUUUCAUGGCCCACUCUCCACGUAAAGACACAAAUCUUCGGUAAGGUGUCUAGCUUCCAAAUGGCUUUCCAAAAAAACCUAUGAGGGCCAUAUCCUAUUUCCUUCAACAGUAACCAGGAAUAGGCAGACUUUGAGGUAAAAAAUCCAUGAGGGUUAUGAAACCAUAUCAUUCUAUCAGCUUGUCCAACAUCUCCAAUGGGAAUGUUACAUAUCUUGUCGCCCCAGUCCCGUCCGUAAACUUGCUCGACUCUGUUGGCGUCCCAGCAUCUGCUGUCCUCAAGCCACAGAUCUUUCACCCUUUUUUCAUUUUGGUUUAAGGUGUAGCUUUUAAUGACGUCCCCAUUUAGACCUUCCAUACCCCAAUUAUCGGCCCAAAUAUUUAUCUUUUCACCAUUUCCGACCUGCCAACCAAAGCUUUCUUUUAGCAUUUCCGCAGCUUUCGCAAUGCUUGACCAGGUGAAGGAUGCUUUGUCAACCUUUUUUGCUUUAAAAAUAUUAUCGUCAGGAAAAUAUUUUGAAGACAGGACUUUGAAACAGAGGGAAUCAGUGUUGUUUAUUAGUCUCCACACUUGACGCCCUAAGAGAGCCAUGUUGAAAAGUCGAACAUCACGAAUUCCAAGACCUCCCAUAGCCUCGGUUUACAUAAGGUCUUCCACGGGAUCAUAGUCCAGUAUCUUCCUUUCUCCUUUCCCGCCCACCAAGCUCUGCUCAGCUUUGCCUGGAUGUCAUCAGUAAUGCCUUUGGGUGCCAAGAAAACCGACAUAGCAUACGUGGGAAUAGAUUGGAGCACCGCUUUGAUGAAGACUUCCUUUCCGCCAAAGGAGAGCAAUCUUUUUGUCCAACUAUUUAUCCUGCAAGACAUCCUAUUAGUAAUCUCCUUGAAAGCCGCAGAUUUCUUCUUACCUACAGGAAUAGGGAGGCCAAGGUAAUUGUUUAGAUUCUCCACCACCGUCAUGCCAAGGAGGCCACUAAAGAAAGCUCUCUGAUCACGUGAUGUGUUUGGACUAAAAAGUACCAUUGACUUUUCAAGAUUAAUCUCUUGGCCUGAAAUAUUGGAGAAGGUAUUGAGCAUAUUAACAAGACUCUCCACAUCACUCUUUUUAUUCCUGACAAACAAAAGUGCGUCAUCAGCAAAGAAUAGAUGAUUUAUUCUAGGACCAUCCCUACUUGCCCGAAUGUCCCUUAAAGAGUUAUUCUCCUGAGCAUGAAUAAGCAUUCUCGACAAAGCUUCCAUACAAAAUAAAAACAAAUAUGGAGAUAGGGGAUCCCAUUGGCGGAGACCCCUCUCAGGGAUGAAAGAAUCAGAUAAAACAUUAUUGCAUUUAACCAUAUAUUUAACCGAGCGGACACAUUCCAUGAUUUUAGUAGUCCACUUUGCAUCGAAUCCCAUUUUCUUCAUAAUUGUUUCAAUGAAAUUCCACUCAACGCGGUCAUAUGCUUUAUUCAUGUCGAGCUUGACCACAAAUCCUUUAUUGGGCCCAUUUUUAGAGCUAUGAAGGUAAUGGAGGAGCUCAUGCGCUAUUAGGAUAUUGUCGUGUAUCAUCCUGCCCGGCACAAAAGCGCUUUGAUUUUGGCUGAUGCAGCUAGGUAGGACAAUUUUUAGCCGAUUUGCAUACACCUUUGAGAUGAUCUUGUAUACAAACCUACACAAACUUAUAGGGCGAUAGUUAGUAAUCUCACAGGGAUCUCUAAUCUUAGGGAUUAAUAUGAUCAUAGUAUCAUUAAGACUAGAAAUAUCCUUUUCCCCGUUAAGAACGUCUAAGCAAGUCUGAAUGGUAUCCUUUCCCACUAUCUCCCAGUGGUGCUUGAAAAAAUUUCCCGAUAGCCCAUCAAUACCAGGGGCUUUGUUUGGGUUCAUUUGCUUGAUAGCUAGAAGAACUUCUUCCUCUGUAUAGGUCAUAUUGAGCCAUUCAUUUGUUUCCCUCGUCACGCACUCCUUCAUGUAUCCCAUCUCUUGGAUUUCAACAUUUUGGCCGUUGGCCCGGAACAGACUCACAAAAUAAUCUUUAGCCACCUUACAAAUGUCUUUACUAUUUGUCACCCAAUUUCCUUCCACAUCUUUGAUCCUCUCAAUAUUGUUCUUUUUCAGGCGACCAGUAGCUUUAGCAUGGAAAUACCUAGUAUUUUGAUCUCCCUCCCUAAGCCAUCUCGACCUAGACCUUUGAGCCCAAUAGCUUUCUUCCCUAGCAUAGAGAAAGUUAAGCCUUCUGCGAGCUUCCUUUAGCUUUUUCCCACUAUCCACUCUGCUGGCGGAAUCAAUGAUCGACUCAAUCUGUUUUUCCAAUUUCCGCAUUUCACUCUUCAUUUUCCCAAAUUUCUGACAUUGCCAGGGACCUAGAGCCGAACGCACCCUUUCCAACUUUUCCCCGUAUUCUGUAUCCUCUCUAUUCCAGGCUCUUUCAAUAACAUUUUUAGCUUCCUCAUCCCCAGCCCAACAGACAUCAAACUUGAAGCACAAUCUCUUGUCUUUCGGGUAGUCUUUCAGUUUCCUACCCAAUAAAUCUAAAAUAAUAGCGUCAUGAUCGGACUGGGUUUGUCGAACCACUUUAGUAGCUAUAAACGGGAAAUUUUCCACCACUUCCACCGAGGUGAGGAAUCUAUCAAGUCUUUCCUUUAUCAGGCUCCCCUCAUUUCUGUUGUUUACCCAUGUAAACCAUCCACUGUCAGGCUUAAUAUCCACCAAAGCCAUCUCAUCCAUGACUUCUUUGAACUCGUUCAUUUGGACCCUGACUCCCCUGCGACCUCCUUCUUUCUCAGCAUCAUUCAGUAUAGCAUUGAAAUCACCUCCUACCACCCACUCCUCCCUCACCGAUUCCCCAACCCUCCGUAAAAUAUCCCAAGAGCUUCUUCUAAAAUUUGGAUUCGCAUGCCCAUAGAAUCCCGUAACCCGAAUGGUUUUGUUGUCAUCCAGUCUAACCUUGGAGUCUAUAUGAUGUUUGGAGAAGUUUUGUAUAGACACAUUCAUCCCGUCCCUCCACAUCAACGUAAGCCCACCACUCCGACCCUCUGAAUUAACAGCUAAACCAUUCUGCAGCCUACAGUUAUUCUGAACCCUACGAAAAUCAUUGGCAGACAUUUUGGUUUCGCUAAGGAAUAUAACAUCAGGGUUGUUGACAGCGAUAAGUUGCUUUAGCUCCCUUAUUUUAGCAGAAUUCCCCAGACCACGGUAAUUCCAACACAAGAAUUUCAUUGAGAAAGCUGUAUCCCAGCAAACCGACACCUUGAGAAGGGAGGAAACCAAGGAUUACAAGGGCACCACCUCCAAAAACACCUUAGCCGACCGACUCAAAGACCUUGACUAGACUUGAGGGAAAAACCCAAUCCCCGCCACCGAAGAGGACACAGCAACUCAACCCACAAGAUGCACGAAAACAAGAACUACGAGAGGAGAAAGGAAACUGCACCCAGAGGCAAACCACAAUACACGAGAAAAACCCCCCAAAGAAACACCGCCCAACGUCCAACAGCCGAACCCCACCCCAGGUUUCAAGAACAGGGAAAGCCAACAAAAGACCCCCCACAACUCGCAGAAAAACAAAACCCCACAAAUCCCAGAAAACCAACGAAACGAAAACCCAAAAGGGCACUAAAUCCCUUCCGACGACGAUGGUAGAACAGUCAGCAAAGCAGGGUCAAGAACGUUCAGGACCAAUCGUACAAGAACGACAUGCAUAAAUGCAAGAAAUAAAAGAAAUAAAAAACCCUUAAACAUGCAAGAGCGACGAUGAUGGGACGUAGAAAGUCAAUAGGGAUAAAAUCUGGCCAGCGCGGUCCCACACAAAAUUUUUAUCGCGAAAACCCGAAUGACCAUGCAAAAACCCACGUAGCCAAAUCUUUUUUGCAUGCAAGCACCACGAGAACA